GACGUAGGGCGCGAGCGUUGUCCGGAUUUAUUGGGCGUAAAGAGCUCGUAGGCGGCUUGUCGCGUCGACUGUGAAAACCCGAGGCUCAACUUUGGGCUUGCAGUCGAUACGGGCAGGCUAGAGUUCGGUAGGGGAGACUGGAAUUCCUGGUGUAGCGGUGAAAUGCGCAGAUAUCAGGAGGAACACCGAUGGCGAAGGCAGGUCUCUGGGCCGAUACUGACGCUGAGGAGCGAAAGCGUGGGGAGCGAACAGG
rnacentral:rRNA from 1 species